GAUGGAACGUGAACCCACCACUCGAAACCCUCGCUCCUCAUCCUCCUCCCCCUGCGCGGAUUCCACGACCCGAGCCGCCGACCAUCGUCCGCCUCCUCCCUCUUCCAAGUCCUGUGGAGCUCGGAGGACCUCCAGUCCACCGGCCUCCUCCCUCAGAUCAAGACGGCAGAGGCUCUACGACCCAUGCCUCCCGCCCGUUGAGCGCCGCGCCGCCCAUGAAAUAAUAGCGGACGGAGGCUCUCCUGCUUCUCUGGCGAUGGAAAGGAGGCAGGCCAACCCUUCUCAAGGUCUUCCCAGAAUUCGUUUGCCAGGUCUUCCCAAAAUUCGUUCGCCAUUGGUGGUUGUGAUGUCGUUGUCCCCGCCUAUGCCGCCGCCGUCCCCUAUCCUGUUCAUCCAUCCCCAAUCCUCGUGACAAACAACGCUUGAGGGAGGAGCUUCUCAAAUCCAAGCUCGUUCCCAACAGCAAGAUUGUGUACUGAAGAAUACCUUAGGUGAUUGGUGUUGUACUCAUCUCUCUCUACAUAGAGAGCCAGAUAAUACUUGCAACAAGGCGGUUCAGAGUGUGCUUAUGAUUCUGUGGUGGAGGUGAAGGGCCACCAAAAUUUCUGUGAAGAUCUUCUCAGGUUCUGAUUUCAGAAGAUAUGAUCAACGAAAAAGCUAUUUAUUUGUUAGUAGGUAAUGGACUGGAAUCUAGUGAUACUUACUGAAAUCUAGAGCAGUGGACAGACUGAAAUGUCUCUGUAAUCACUGAAUUGAAGAACUUUGUUCCACACAACAGGCUCAAUUGGAUAUUCACCAGAAAAUUGGCACACAGAGGCAGUACGUGAAGCUAUAAUCAAUCAAAUAUGCUCGUCUUGAUUUGCCUUGGUGGAUCUGACAUUCUAUGAUAUUUUGCAUUCGAUCACCUGCAUUUCCAUCAGGGUUAGGAAAUGCAACCAGAUAUAAAAGGCAAUUGACAAGGCUCUGUCAAGAAAUAGGUAAAACAUCUGAAAUUUUCUUGCUAUUUUUUUGUGCUUUGAAGUCACUACCUUCCUGAAAUAUGAGUGCCAUCUUCUGUGAGUUUUGGUUCAAGAUACCAGCUACUCCAAAGCACCAUCUGCUUCCACAAAUUUGGACAUGGUUCAGCACAUGCUGUUUCUGAGAGGUGUAACUCCCUACACUGAAUUUAUCGUAGCAUUUCACAAGCAUUUCCUACAUUGUAAAAUUAAGAGUGUGGUCAACACAUGGGCAUUUAAUUGAAUGUACGCCGCAUUUCACAAGCACUUCCUACUUUACGUUGUAAAAUGAGAGCAUGCUUGCCCAUAUACUAUGUGAAGAAAUUUCAGGUAGGCAUGCCUAGGUUGUAGUUUGCUGACUUGACCAGUAAUUCCUCACCAAAACUGGGCAAUUUAAAUUAAUUGUGGAGUUGCAUGGUCUUAAUAAAGAGCAUGGUAAAGUCACAAACUAUUCUUUGGUUACACUGAAAUGUUGUUUGCGCACACAUUGUCUGUUUAGAGUGGUGCACUUUUUGUUUUUCCAGGCCAGUGAAAUAUUGUUUUCAAGCGAUGAACCACGUCAUGGUGGCUGUGGCUAGGAACAAGCCAUGAACUUCUACGUAUUAGAAUUUCUUUUUUGGUGUCUUGAGAUCAUGAGAUAGACAGGGAAAGAUCGUCGCCGCAAAGAGUAUAAUAUGGGAUCCUUAGGCUGAAAUUAUAAGCUGUAAGGUACUAACAGAGGCAUGUGUCAAUAAUUUUUUUCUUCACAAUAUUAUUUAGUCAGUGAUGAUCGAGAAAGAAACAAAUCAUUGAUUGAUGGAUCUUUGAUAGUAUGGAAUAAGCACACAAACUCAAAUUCCUCGUUGAAAAUUUUCUCUAUGAUGUGAUAGAGGAUUGUCAUGGAAUUUGGGAACUGCAACUUUUAAAAGGUGGAGCUAUAGGCGUAGUUUUAUUUCCCUUCUAAUUUUCGAUCCACACUAAUUUCAUAACAAAAUGUGAGUGUGCAACAUUGUAUAUAGUUAUAUAUUGUUUUGUUCCAUAAUUUACGGAUGAUAUGCGAUGGAUUAGAUGAGAAUCUGAUGUUGGACAUUGAUGAUUGAUCACAUAUCAUGUGAAGACCUGUAAUAUGUGAUCAAUCAUCCUCUCCUGUUUCGAGGAGAGGAUGAUUGAUCACAUAUUGCAGGUCUUCGCAUGAUAUUUCAUUCGACCGUCUAAGAAUUUGGCAUAUUGUAUGAACCUCUUUGCAUGUGUUGGUUUCUUAUCCAUUUAGUUAAUGUGUUAUAGUUGUAGGUAUUGUGGCGAGAAUAAGUGGAUUGGUGGUGUAGCCGAGGGAGGGGGAAUAUGCGAGCUGAAAGACAUGAUGAGACAAAAAAAAUAAGAGAGAAAGAACAUUCAAUGUGUGGAGCUAUGAGAGAGAGAUCUUGUCUUUUAUAAUUUUUGUGAUAUUUUCUAAGGCUACGUAACUUAUCACUGCUAGAUAACUCAUAAAUUUUAUCCAUUUCAUCCUGGAAAUCAGUAAUUCAUUAUGAGUGACAAACAAAUAGAGUUAUUCUAUUAUUCUGUUACAGAGUAUAAGUAAAGUAAAAUUUUGUAAGAAGAAUAACUCUGUGCUAAGAGUGUUACUUCUUCACAAUUAAUGUUAUUGGCAGAUCCAAUGUUUAGUUAGAAAAAUCAUACUGCACAGGCUAUUGGAGUCGACAGUUAGAUCAGUAUUCUUGCCAUGUCAUACUGGGAUCGAUGUACAUUAAUGGUCUUACAUGCUAAUCAUGAUGAUUUUUUCUCUGCUAUGCAAGGUGUUAUGUUGAUACAUAGGCAACCCAGUGGACUGCUCUGUCUGGACGCGGCCUCUGUUGUCGUCGCCCCAUCCCUCCAGCAGAAGCCACUGUUCGGACUAUGUUGCCGCCACCCACUGCUUUUUGACGGCACAUAUGAAUCAGGGUUCGGGAUGGUGCCUUCUUCACCUGCUUGUUGCCCUGUAGUAGCUUCCUUUCCGCAGUUAAUCAUAUUGCAGUUGCCAGGUGGUUAAGCCCAAACUGUGUACCACGUUGUACAUGAAGAAUGGGCUCGUGAUGAGCUUCAGGAGGAGGGAGCAGCAAUAAAUGCUGAGUUGGAAAUAUAUAUGUAACCAUUCAGUCCAUUCUAAGUUGGAAAAAGAUCAUUCAUAGUUCAAGAACUUGACAUAGCAACAUGAGGAGUCCCUUCCUCUGAACGAGGGAUAUCAUAAUGAUAGGGUCUAGAAUACUGUUCAUAUUCUGAAUUUAUAUCCCUAGAAUACUUUUCAGGCUCUUUUGUUUCGUUUGUCGGCACGGAUCAAUGAUGACCAUAAAAAAGAUAUGAAGUGUACAUGCUAUCCCAAUAAGUGAAUAAGGUAUGUCAAGAGUGGACAGACCGACAGAGUGUGUACAUCAUUUCUUGAAAGAGAAAAGUGGACCAAAAUAAAUGGUACUGGUGAAGACACUGUCUGAAUAA